rnacentral:rRNA from 1 species
GAUGAACGCUGGCGGCGUGCCUAAUACAUGCAAGUCGAGCGAACAGACGAGGAGCUUGCUCCUCUGACGUUAGCGGCGGACGGGUGAGUAACACGUGGAUAACCUACCUAUAAGACUGGGAUAACUUCGGGAAACCGGAGCUAAUACCGGAUAAUAUAUUGAACCGCAUGGUUCAAUAGUGAAAGACGGUUUUGCUGUCACUUAUAGAUGGAUCCGCGCCGCAUUAGCUAGUUGGUAAGGUAACGGCUUACCAAGGCAACGAUGCGUAGCCGACCUGAGAGGGGAAUCGGCCACACUGGAACGGAGAAACGUCCCAGCCUCCAAGGGAGGGCAGAGUGAGGAAACUUUCCCCAUGGGGGGAAAGCUUGCCGAAGCAACGCGGGGUGAGUGAGGAAGGUCUUCGGAUCGUAAAACUCUGUUAUUGGGGAAAAACAAAUGUUGAAGUAACGAUGCACGUCUUAACGUUACCUAAGCAGAAGGCCACGCCAAACUACUU